ACGGGAGGCAGCAGUGGGGAAUAUUGCACAAUGGGGGAAACCCUGAUGCAGCGACGCCGCGUGAGCGAAGAAGUAUUUCGGUAUGUAAAGCUCUGUCAGCAGGGAAGAAAAUGACGGUACCUGACCAAGAAGCACCGGCUAAAUACGUGCCAGCAGCCGCGGUAAUACGUAUGGUGCAAGCGUUAUCCGGAUUUACUGGGUGUAAAGGGAGCGUAGACGGAGGGGCAAGUCUGAAGUGAAAGCCCGGGGCCCAACCCCGGGACUGCUUUGGAAACUGUCCGUCUGGAGUGCCGGAGAGGUAAGCGGAAUUCCCAGUGUAGCGGUGAAAUGCGUAGAUAUUGGGAGGAACACCAGUGGCGAAGGCGGCUUACUGGACGGUCACUGACGUUGAGGCUCGAAAGCGUGGGGAGCAAACAGGAUUAGAUACCCUGGUA
rnacentral:rRNA from 1 species